AGAGUUGAUAUGGCUCAGGAUGAACGCUAGCGACAGGCUAACACAUGCAAGUCGAGGGGCAGCACGGGAGUAGCAAUACGUUGGUGGCGACCGGCGCACGGGUGAGUAACGCGUAUGCAACCUACCUAUCAGAGGGGAAUAACCCGGCGAAAGUCGGACUAAUACCGCAUAAAACAGGGGCACCGCAUGGUGAUAUUUGUUAAAGAAAUUCGCUGAUAGAUGGGCAUGCGUUCCAUUAGGUAGUUGGUGAGGUAACGGCUCACCAAGCCGACGAUGGAUAGGAGAACUGAGAGGUUGGUCCCCCACACUGGUACUGAGACACGGACCAGACUCCUACGGGAGGCAGCAGUGAGGAAUAUUGGUCAAUGGGCGGGAGCCUGAACCAGCCAAGUCGCGUGAAGGAAGAAGGAUCUAUGGUUCGUAAACUUCUUUUGCAGGGGAAUAAAGUGCAGGACGUGUCCUGUUUUGUAUGUACCCUGAGAAUAAGGAUCGGCUAACUCCGUGCCAGCCGCCGC
rnacentral:rRNA from 1 species